rnacentral:snoRNA from 1 species
GUCGACUUUACUUCAAAGAAUCUCUUUUUAGUAAGCUUCUUAUCAUCUGAACUCUUCAAAAGAGCCACAGAACUCCAACCUGGCGGAUGAGCGAUAUCCCCGAUGCCCUAGAGUGAUACCGUGUAUCUUGGCUCCGGCCUCGAUGGUGAUGAUCUCGACCCUUUCAGGCGUCUGGCUUCGGUCGGCUUGACUGGGUGGGCGUUGGCGGACUUCUGACAGGC